rnacentral:rRNA from 1 species
GUAACAAGGUUUCCGUAGGUGAACCUGCGGAAGGAUCAUUAUUGAAUUUUGAAUGGGGUUGUAGCUGGCCUUUCAACGGGCAUGUGCACACCUCGCUUCAAUCCACUCACCACUGUGCACAAUUUGUAGGUCGGCUUUAGGAUCGGGUCUCUAGCGGGAUCUGUUUCGGGCCKUCCUAUGUAUCAUUACAAACAUUUAAAGUCUAAAGAAUGUACUCGCGUUAAACGCAUUUAUAUACAACUUUCAGCAACGGAUCUCUUGGCUCUCGCAUCGAUGAAGAACGCAGCGAAAUGCGAUAAGUAAUGUGAAUUGCAGAAUUCAGUGAAUCAUCGAAUCUUUGAACGCACCUUGCGCUCCUUGGUAUUCCGAGGAGCAUGCCUGUUUGAGUGUCAUGGAAUUCUCAACUCGCCAAUCUUUGCAUUGGCGYUGUUGGACUUGGAGGCUUUUUUGCCGGAUUGUAAUGAUUCGGCUCCUCUUGAAUGUAUUAGCUCGGACCUUUGCGGAUCAGCUUUUGGUGUGAUAAUUGUCUACGCCGCUAACUGUGAUGCAUGAGUAGGAUCGGCUUACAAUCGUCUUUAAACGGACAAURAAACUUAUGACCUCUGACCUCAAAUCAGGUAGGAUUACCCGCUGAACUUAAGCAUAUC